ensembl:lncRNA
AACAGAGACAAUGAAACAGAGACAAUGAAACAGAGACAAUGAAACAGAGACAGAGAAACAGAGACAAUGAAACAGAGACAAUGAAACAGAGACAAUGAAACAGAGACAACGAAACAGAGACAAUGAAACAGAGACAACGAAACAGAGACAAUGAAACAGAGACAAUGAAACAGAGACAAUGAAACAGAGACAAUGAAACAGAGACAAUGAAACAGAGACAGAGAAACAGAGACAAUGAAACAGAGACAAUGAAACAGAGACAGAGAAACAGAGACAAUGAAACAGAGACAAUGAAACAGAGACAGAGAAACAGAGACAAUGAAACAGAGACAGAGAAACAGAGACAACGAAACAGAGACAAUGAAACAGAGACAAUGAAACAGAGACAACGAAACAGAGACAGAGAAACAGAGACAACGAAACAGAGACAAUGAAACAGAGACAGAGAAACAGAGACAAUGAAACAGAGACAAUGAAACAGAGACAAUGAAACAGAGACAACGAAACAGAGACAAUGAAACAGAGACAAUGAAACAGAGACAGAGAAACAGAGACAAUGAAACAGAGACAAUGAAACAGAGACAGAGAAACAGAGACAAUGAAACAGAGACAGAGAAACAGAGACAACGAAACAGAGACAAUGAAACAGAGACAAUGAAACAGAGACAACGAAACAGAGACAGAGAAACAGAGACAACGAAACAGAGACAAUGAAACAGAGACAGAGAAACAGAGACAAUGAAACAGAGACAACGAAACAGAGACAAUGAAACAGAGACAAUGAAACAGAGACAACGAAACAGAGACAAUGAAACAGAGACAAUGAAACAGAGACAAUGAAACAGAGACAACGAAACAGAGACAGAGAAACAGAGACAAUGAAACAGAGACAACGAAACAGAGACAAUGAAACAGAGACAAUGAAACAGAGACAAUGAAACAGAGACAACGAAACAGAGACAAUGAAACAGAGACAAUGAAACAGAGACAAUGAAACAGAGACAACGAAACAGAGACAGAGAAACAGAGACAACGAAACAGAGACAAUGAAACAGAGAAACAGAGACAACGAAACAGAGACAAUGAAACAGAGACAUUGAAUUAAAGGAUCACGUGACCCUGAUGCUGAUGCAGGUUCCUCAGAGUUUCUUUGUUUGACCACGACGUGUGACCGGGUCAAACGUGUGACCGGGUCAAACGUGUGACCGGGUCAAGAGCCACUGGCCCCAGAGUCACCAGCCCCAGAGUCUCCAGCCCCAGAGUCUCCAGCCCCAGAGCCACCAGCCCCAGAGUCUCCAGCCCCAGAGCCUCCAGCCCCAGAGCCACCAGCCCCAGAGUCUCCAGCCCCAGAGCCUCCACCAGCCCCUGCGCGCGCAUCCAGCCCCUGUGCACGUGCCGCGCUCUCACGUGACGCUCGUUUUUCUGUUUGGGUCAAACGUUUGCAGAAGUGCAAAUCCUUUAUUGUUCCGUGAUGAGUCUCAUGUCCAUCAGUAAUUCUCUUUGACUUUAAUAAUCCCUAAUCUAAUCCAGC